ensembl:lncRNA
GUCCUAUCUGUGAGGGCAAAGCAAGCUGGUGUAAUUAUGACAUGUCUGCUGAGGACUGACUGUGGGCAAGGACCAUGGGACUGCUGGAAACACUGAGGGAACAGGUUCAAGCUUGUGGUGGGGUCUCCUAGGGGCUCAGGGGCUCACUUGGAGGUGCCAGCCAACCACACAGCUGAAAUGUGGGCACCUUAGCAGAGAGCAACAAGAAAGCAUGUGGUAUCUUCUAAGGACGAUGCAGAAGGAACUAAACAAGGAAGUGAAGGGGCGGCCUUGAGGAUUUUAAAUGAAGCUUGAAAUGCUCAAACCUGUGUUUCAGAAAGGUCACUCUGGUGACACUCUGAAAAAGAGAAAGCCUGGAGGGAACAAGGCCAGUGGGAAGGUUGCUACGAUGGUCCAAAAAGCGGUCCCUUGAACCAAGGUGGAGACUGUGGACAUAGAGAAACAACUGUCUUUGAGGAUCUGGUGAGGACCAGACGUGCGAGACGACGGAGAGGACUUCCAGAACGCCAGGUUUCUGGCUUGGGCAACUGGAGCGUGAUGCAGCCGUUAGUAAAGUGGGCGCAAAGGAGGACAAGUGGGGACGGUGCGGGAGAGGAGGUCAGCAUGGGCAGGCUGACUUGUUUGAGUCCCUGAGAAGUCACCUCAAUGCUGCCCAGAGAGCGGGUGGGAACACAGAUCUGGGUCUCUGUGAGAAGUCUAGACCGGACGCAUGGAUGGAGGAGUCCAUUGACCCACAGACAGCAUUUGGAGCCCACAUAUGAGAGGAUCAUCUGUUACAGUGAAGAGCAUGUGUGGUAUAUGAGGGACCUGGGACUGCUUUUGUGGAAGAGGGGAAAUGGCACAUGGUUGGAGCAGGAUGCACAUACGAGAUCCAAUCAAAACCACACGCAUGCUCCCCCAGGAUUGUGGAGGGAAUUUAUUGAAAGAACUGUGGGCAGCAUUAAGAGAACCAAAACGGAGGCAGAGACACCCAAGGAAAAAGUCGUUAAACACCCAGACCUGAAUGGAGAUGGAAAGAUGCCUGAAUGGAGAUGGAAAGAAACAGUGAUACCCACCCCAGAGGUCACCGUGCCCUCCAAGUAUCUUGUGUGACUAUUAUAAGUGAACAGCUUUCUGAAAUUUUUAAAAGC